rnacentral:rRNA from 1 species
AAGAUAGUCAUGCAUGUCUAGUAUAGCAGUUAUACGUGAACUGCGAAUGCUCAUAAUCAGUAUCGUUUAUUUGAUAGUACCUACUACUGGAUACCCGUGGUAAUCUAGAGCUAAUACAUGCUAAAAACCCCGACUUCGGGAGGGGUGUGUUAUUAGAUAAAAAACCAACGCCCUUCGGGGCUCCUUGGUGAUUCAUGAUAACCUCUCAGAUCGCACGGCCCUUGCGCCGGCGACGGUUCAUUCAAAUUUCUGCCCUAUCAACUUUCGAUGGUAAGGUAUUGGCUUACCAUGGUUUCAACGGGUAACGGGGAAUUAGGGUUCGAUUCCGGAGAGUGAGCCUGAGAAACGGCUCACACAUCCAAGGAAGGCAGCAGGCGCGCAAAUUACCCAAUCCCGACACGGGGAGGUAGUGACAAUAAAUACUGAUACAGGGCUCUUUUGGGUCUUGUAAUUGGAAUGAGUACAAUUUAAACCUCUUAACGAGGAACAAUUGGAGGGCAAGUCUGGUGCCAGCAGCCGCGGUAAUUCCAGCUCCAAUAGCGUAUAUUAAAGUUGUUGCAGUUAAAAAGCUCGUAGUUGAAUCUUUGGCCUGGCUGGCGGGUCCGCCUCACCGCGUGCACUUGUCCGGCCGGGCCUUCUCUUCUGGAGAACCGCAUGCCCUUCACUGGGCGUGUUGGGGACCAGGACUUUUACUUUGAAAAAAUUAGAGUGUUCAAAGCAGGCCUUUGCUCGAAUACGUUAGCAUGGAAUAAUAGAAUAGGACGUGCGGUCCUAUUUUGUUGGUUUCUAGGACCGCCGUAAUGAUUAAUAGGGACAGUCGGGGGCAUCAGUAUUCAAUUGUCAGAGGUGAAAUUCUUGGAUUUAUUGAAGACUAACUACUGCGAAAGCAUUUGCCAAGGAUGUUUUCAUUAAUCAGUGAACGAAAGUUAGGGGAUCGAAGACGAUCAGAUACCGUCGUAGUCUUAACCAUAAACUAUGCCGACUAGGGAUCGGGCGGUGUUAUCGAUUUGACCCGCUCGGCACCUUGCGA